rnacentral:rRNA from 1 species
AUUACUCCUACGGGAGGCAGCAGCGGGGAAUCUUGCGCAAUGGGCGAAAGCCUGACGCAGCAACGCCGCGUGCGGGAAGAAGGCCCUCGGGUUGUAAACCGCUUUCAGAAGGAACGAAACUGACGGUACUUUCAGAAGAGGGUGCGGCCAACUACGUGCCAGCAGCCGCGGUAAUAAU